rnacentral:rRNA from 1 species
UACGAGAGCCCCGAGCGUUAUCCGGAAUUAUUGGGCGUAAAGGGCGCGUAGGCGGCGCGGAUAGUCGGCGGUGAAAGCCCGGAGCUCAACUCCGGGUCGGCCGUCGAUACUUCCGGGCUUGAGCACUGUAGAGGCAGAUGGAAUUCCGGGUGUAGCGGUGGAAUGCGUAGAGAUCCGGAAGAACACCGGUGGCGAAGGCGGUCUGCUGGGCAGUUGCUGACGCUGAUGCGCGACAGCGUGGGGAGCAAACAGG